GAUGAAGAACGCAGUGAAAUGCGAUACUUGGUGUGAAUUGCAGAAUCCCGUGAACCAUCGAGUCUUUGAACGCAAGUUGCGCCCGAAGCCAUUAGGCCGAGGGCACGCCUGCCUGGGCGUCACACGUCGUUGCCCCCCCAUCUACUCCUUCGGGAUUGCGGGGGGCGGAUGAUGGCCUCUCGUGCGCCUCGUCGCGCGGUUGGCCUAAAUGCCAAGUCCUCGGCGACGCACGCCACGACAAUCGGUGGUUGCGAAACCUCGGUUGCCUGUCGUGUGCGGUCGUCGCGCAUCGAGGGCUCGAAAAAAUUGCCGGGCUUCGGCUCGACUUUCAACGCGACCCCAGGUCAGGCGGGGUUACCCGCUGAAUUUAAGCAUAUCAAUAAGCGGAGA
rnacentral:misc_RNA from 1 species